rnacentral:rRNA from 1 species
UACGAGGGGGGCAAGCGUUGUUCGGAAUUAUUGGGCGUAAAGGGCGCGUAGGCGGUUUGACAAGUCUGAUGUGAAAGCCCUGGGCUCAACCUGGGAAUUGCACUGGAUACUGGCAGGCUAGAGUGCGGUAGAGGAUGGCGGAAUUCCCGGUGUAGCAGUGAAAUGCGUAGAGAUCGGGAGGAACAUCCGUGGCGAAGGCGGCCAUCUGGACCAGCACUGACACUGAGGCACGAAAGCGUGGGGAGCAAACAGG